UGCAAGUCGAACGGCAGCACGGGUGCUUGCACCUGGUGGCGAGUGGCGAACGGGUGAGUAAUACAUCGGAACAUGUCCUGUAGUGGGGGAUAGCCCGGCGAAAGCCGGAUUAAUACCGCAUACGAUCUACGGAUGAAAGCGGGGGACCUUCGGGCCUCGCGCUAUAGGGUUGGCCGAUGGCUGAUUAGCUAGUUGGUGGGGUAAAGGCCUACCAAGGCGACGAUCAGUAGCUGGUCUGAGAGGACGACCAGCCACACUGGGACUGAGACACGGCCCAGACUCCUACGGGAGGCAGCAGUGGGGAAUUUUGGACAAUGGGCGAAAGCCUGAUCCAGCAAUGCCGCGUGUGUGAAGAAGGCCUUCGGGUUGUAAAGCACUUUUGUCCGGAAAGAAAUCCUUGGCUCUAAUACAGUCGGGGGAUGACGGUACCGGAAGAAUAAGCACCGGCUAACUACGUGCCAGCAGCCGCGGUAAUACGUAGGGUGCGAGCGUUAAUCGGAAUUACUGGACGUAUAGCGUGCGCAGGCGGUUUGCUAAGACCGAUGUGAAAUCCCCGGGCUCAACCUGGGAACUGCAUUGGUGACUGGCAUGCUAGAGUAUGGCAGAGGGGGGUAGAAUUCCACGUGUAGCAGUGAAAUGCGUAGAGAUGUGGAGGAAUACCGAUGGCGAAGGCAGCCCCGGGGGCCAAUACUGACGCUCAUGCACGAAAGCGUGGGGAGCAACAGGAUUAGAUACCCUGGUAGUCCACGCCGUAAGCGAUGUCAACUAGUUGUUGGGGAUUCAUUUCCUUAGUAACGUAGCUAACGCGUGAAGUUGACCGCCUGGGGGAGUACGGUCGCAAGAUUAAAACUCAAAGGAAUUGACGGGGACCCGCACAAGCGGUGGAUGAUGUGGAUUAAUUCGAUGCAACGCGAAAAACCUUACCUACCCUUGACAUGGUCGGAAUCCCGCUGAGAGGUGGGAGUGCUCGAAAGAGAACCGGCGCACAGGUGCUGCAUGGCUGUCGUCAGCUCGUGUCGUGAGAUGUUGGGUUAAGUCCCGCAACGAGCGCAACCCUUGUCUUUAGUUGCUACGCAAGAGCACUCUAAGGAGACUGCCGGUGGCAAACCGGAGGAAGGUGGGGAUGACGUCAAGUCCUCAUGGCCCUUAUGGGUAGGGCUUCACACGUCAUACAAUUGUCGGAACAGAGGGUUGCCAACCCGCGAGGGGGAGCUAAUCCCAGAAAACCGAUCGUAGUCCGGAUUGCACUCUGCAACUCGAGUGCAUGAAGCUGGAAUCGCUAGUAAUCGCGGAUCAGCAUGCCGCGGUGAAUACGUUCCCGGGUCUUGUACACGCCGCCCGUCACACCAUGGGAGUGGGUUUUACCAGAAGCGUUAGUCUAACCGCAAGGAGGACGGUCACCACGGUAGGAUUCAGACUGG
rnacentral:rRNA from 1 species